rnacentral:rRNA from 1 species
ACGUAGGGUGCGAGCGUUAAUCGGAAUUACUGGGCGUAAAGCGUGCGCAGGCGGCUCUAUAAGACAGAUGUGAAAUCCCCGGGCUUAACCUGGGAACUGCGUUUGUGACUGUAGGGCUUGAGUGCGGCAGAGGGGGGUGGAAUUCCACGUGUAGCAGUGAAAUGCGUAGAGAUGUGGAGGAACACCGAUGGCGAAGGCAAUCCCCUGGGCCUGCACUGACGCUAAGACGCGAGAGCAUGGGGAGCGAACGG